AUCAACAUCAGUCAUGUCGAUUGUAUAGGAUUCCAGCGCCUUGACAGAUGCACACACACCACUGUGGUGACACGUCCCCUAUAUGACUAUCUCUGUCCCCACGUUGUGAUUGCCCUCCCCCACUCCACUUUACCGCGCAGAGCCAGAGAGGGAAAAUCACUUUCAUCUGGAGAAGCUCGUCCGUUAACACGGGGCGGCCCAUCUGCAGGUCCCCGCUGUUCCUAAAAGAAAGAUUAAGGAUUUGAGUUGGCCUGACGGAGAGAUCUUCCAGGCGACUCCGGCCCAUGGAGGAUGCAGAGCAUCACAUCAGAUCAAACAUUGAUAAACCAGUACUUUACCAGCGUUUUAUCAAUAUCUUUAAAGGACGGGGAGUUUUUGCCACUGAAUUCAUAUCCAAAGGAGACUUUGUUGUGGAGUACCGAGGUGAACUGCUUACACAACAGGAGGGCGAGGUCCGAGCUGAUCAGUACAAUGAUUCUGCAAAGGUGUUUCUUUUCGAUUUCCAAUGGAAAGGAAGAAC